rnacentral:rRNA from 1 species
AUGGCGGAUUGGUCCUCGCACCAGCCCGAGCUCGUCCCCCGCAUCGCUGACUGCCUCUUGGACACCAACGACCUCAACAGCUACAUUGACUUCCGUGCCGUCUGCCCCAACUGGCGCUCGGCCACCGACGACCCAAAGGAUUCUUCUGAGCUUCGCUUCCGUCCAUGCCGGUGGAUCAUCGUCGACGAGGUCUUCCAGGGCGACUCGCGCCUCCUGGUGAACACCGUCAGCGGUCGUGUCAUCCGCAAGGACCUGCCUCUGCUGCACAGGUACGAUCUUGUCGCUACCACCCACGGUGGCUUCUUCGUCCUCGCCGACAAGAAGACACAUGCUGCGGUGGUCCUCAACCCUUUCACCGGCCACACGAUCCGGUUCAAGGCGCCCGUGCCAUCCAGUGUCGAUAUCUCUGAUGCCGCUCUCGUCGGUCUUGUCACGGGAAAUCCGGAGCCCUCUCUUGUUUCUGAGCUCCAUAGUUCACCCACCCUCAUCCUGCUCUCUGACAAAUUUUGCGGGCAGUACAUGGCUGUUCCUGGCAGUGAUAGUUUUUCUGUGGACGAAGAAGCAUUGGAGUCAUUCAUCUUGUUUCGGCAUGCCGUUGCUGGCUGUAUCUGUGCUGCCGACGGUUGGCAGAGAACAGUGCCGGUGCUUCUGAUUUCUUGGGUUAACAAGUUAUUGCGUUUGAUAAAGGUGUUCGACAUUGAUCCCUUCAAGAUGUUCUCCGACGCACUUGUAACCGGGUUUGCUGAUAUUCCUGGGACGGGAGAAGCCAACCACCUCUUCCUGGUGGAAUCUGCUGGAGAAUUGUUGGCUAUCAUCAAGCUGCAGCAACACCUGAAAGUUUUCAGGCUUGAAAGUGAUGAGAUCGAGCCUGUGAAGAGCAUCAGCGACCUUGCCAUCUUCGUUGGUUACCGGAGGUGCUUGUCGGUCAGUGCCGACAAGUUCCCGUCCGUCCUCGCCAACUGCAUCUACUUCGUGAAGUCCACUGAUUCAUCGCUUGACAUCUACCAGUAUGACCUCGAGACUGAGAAAGAAGAAAGGGUCUGUGAAGCCAUAGACUCCCUGAACCCUUGUACCCUGUCUUUCGCCAAUCCUCCAUUUACAAUCGUGCAGCUCCUCUCCAGCUACACCAUCAACGGCCUGGAAUUUCAGCUUGCGAUGAAAAGUUUUGAAGUGCACCUUCGUAAUGAUCUACUCGCAACUGCAAGGGUCGGCACCCGAAUGCAAUUCAUGUCCACCCAUGAGCUGCAUUUUCAUUUGGGUUAUAGCUUGUCUUAUGUGCCGCCGCCGGAGUGA